rnacentral:tRNA from 1 species
GGUUCCGAGUGUAGUGGUUAUCACGUUCGCUUCACACGCGAAAGGUCUCCGGUUCGAUCCCGGGUGGAACCA